UUUGUUUAUGGGAACAGGAAGCAAGUUCUCUACCUGUAGAGGUGGAGCAGAGGGAGAGAUGGGCAGUGAGCAGUCAGAGGUGUGUUCAGUCGCUAGGGACAAAAAUCAUUCUCUUUGGAAUAAUCAGCAGCUGCCCGAAGAUAAAAUCCCUGUUAUGGACAGACGGGUAUAAGUGGAAGAAUGGAUAAUAUUUAUAAUACUAAAAUUUCCAUACAAAAUGAUUUUGGCAAUCCCUAAAAAGACAUCAACAGCUGCUUUCCUGGAUCUAAGGUGAAUGUCACGAAGAUUACAGCAGAGCUCUAGAGACCAGGCACAACUUAAGGUAUCACAGCCAGAAACAAAACCCCAGGGGACACCAGUUCUAAUUCACAACUACCUCACAGCAAUUUACUAUAAUGAAAAGCCUGCCUUAGAAAGCGAGAAAUCCGGCUUUAUCAGAUGGCUGUGGUUUACCUACUGCUCUACUGUUAAUCAUUUACUAUUAUGACUAAUUCUGGUCAAGUCAUAAAGCAGCCAGUAGGGACAAAGCACCUGCAUAUCACAUUGGACCGGGUAUUUGCAAGAUUGUGAACCUUGAACUCCACCCUAUGGUUUCUUGCUCCAUCGCUACCUCACCACAUUCUGCAAAAUGUCCCUUAGUCGAAUAGGGCUUGGCCGAUGUUCCUGCUGCUUCUGGUUGGCUGUGGCCUUUGACGUUUUUGGUUUGGUUGUUCUACUGAUUGGGGUCUUCGCAAAUGUUUUCUUCUAUGACUUUCUUAUUUAUGCUGGAGCUAUUGUCAUCUUCCUCAGUCUUAUCUGGUGGGUGUUCUGGUACACAGGUAACAUUGAGGUGCCACCAGAGGAGCUAGCUGAUGAUGUUGGGCUCAGUAAGAAAAACAAUGGGGUCUUGGGUCUGGUCAGAACACUUUCUGGUCGCAUUUCCAGAAGUUUCAGAAGCAGAGGCUCAAGACCACCUAGUCCGGCAAAAAGAGGGAGUCGAGCACCAAGGCCAAAUCGCUUCGAGAGACCAGUGACAGUUCCCAUGACUACACAACUCGGCAGCAUUUCAGCCUCUUUAGAAAAAGAAAGAUACAACACAGCACCUCAACACAAGCACAGAACCCCUAUUGUGUAAUUAUUCAGGUUCAGCCAUGAAAAGACCCAACCAAUCAGGAUGUUUUCUUCCUGGUCUCCCAGGACUUACUCAGCUACAGAUGUUAUGGACAUGAAAGGCGUAGGUUUGAAACAGACUCAAGAGAUGCCUUAAUAUUUUGUAUUACUGCCUUAAUUUUGGUUCAUCCUGCACAGGGAGUUAUUGGAUCAGAAUAUAAAUAAUUAUAAUUAUCAUUCCAUUUGAGUAACUCUAGAAAAUAAUUUUUGAAUCAAUUGCUAUGUAGAGCAACUACAAGCAUUUCCAUUUUUUGAUGAUGGAGUUGUAAAAUAUGGCUGGCUUUAUCAGGCUACUCAAGACUCACCUGAGGACAACAUGUGGGUGGAAUGUGAGGCUUCGGCAAGCUUACAGGCAGUUAUGGCAAUGUUGCUAUGGCAAUUUCCAGUCUCAGUUAUGACAUUUCCCAGUAAAAUAAUGGAUUCACUUCUGUUGUGAAAUAAAUGAUAGUGUAGGCAAAAACAAAAGAA